rnacentral:rRNA from 1 species
CCUACGGGAGGCAGCAGUGGGGAAUAUUGCACAAUGGGGGAAACCCUGAUGCAGCGACGCCGCGUGAGUGAAGAAGGAUUUCGGGAUGUAAAGCUCUAUCAGCAGGGAAGAAAGAGCGACCGCUGGGGCGCCAGACGGUACCUGAUGAAGAAGCGCCGGCUAACAACGUGCCAGCAGCCGCGGUAAUACGUAGGGGGAAAGCGUUAUCCGGAUUGACUGGGUGGAAAGGGAGCGUAGACGGCAGCGCAAGUCUGAAGUGAAAUGCCGGGGCUUAACCCCGGAACUGCUUUGGAUACUGUGCAGCUAGAGUGCAGGAGAGGUAAGUGGAAUUCCUAGUGUAGCGGU